CGAUGAUGUCGGAAGGAGGAGGAGAGUCCCCAGCGCCGGAAAAGGUAGGAAUUUAACCCCUUCCUCCCCCUAGAGCCGGCGGGAGGGGAGCCCAGAGGGUGAGGGGGACCCAAGGACCCUAAAGAGCCAGGAAAACUAGUAUGUUUUCCUGGCACUAUAGUGGUCCUUUAAAUACAUAUACAAAUAUUAUUUCACAAUAGUGACGCUGCAUGAGACAUACACUUUCCAGUCUCUGUUAG